GUGAUUUUGGCCGUGAUAUAUAAUAUAUAGAUAUCUAUAGCCUAUAUUAUAUAUCUUAUAUUAUUAUAUACUCAGGCGAACAUGCAUAACAUAAUCAUUUGAACCACCGUUCAAAUGGCAGUCUGAGCCAUCAUAACAACAAUAUUUGUGUCAGUAAUGUUGAUGAGAUGUUGUGUUUUGCAACUUGUUACAGGCCGUUGGCGGUGUGGUGGACCAGCCUUCUACCUCCAGCAUAUCCUUGGUCCUCACCAGUCCACAGCCACGGCCUCACCAAUCCAAUAAAUCCCCAAGGAAGUCCUUAUCUGGCAGUUACCUUGCUUUCCCUGUGAUCAGGGAGAGGCUCUCACUAUCUCCAGAUGAUUGUGAAACUGAGAUGCUUCAAAUGGACACAAGCAUUUCCUCAGUCAUUGAGGAUGACCCAAAAGACAUGAGCUUCAGCCUUAGUCAACAGUCAAGUUCAAGUGAAACCUCCAGUUCAAGUGCCUCAGAAGAGCAAGGGGAGUGGGAUGAAAGAAAAUGGAUUGUGAACGAGUCUAGCAUCAUGCAACUGUUUAGAACAUGCCAUAUAUGUGCCGCACAAAUCACGGAUAAAAAAGUGACAACUACAGGCAGCCAACUAAAGAUUGAAUGGACAUGUUUGAAUAAUCAUCAUGGCAAGUGGGCAUCAUGUCCUGAUGCAAGAGGAAUGGCACAGAAUAACUUGCUUGUUUCUGCUGCUACGCUUUUCUCUGGAACAACUUUCACUGAAGUACACGAGUGGGCCAGCAUCCUAAACUUGCAACUCUUGAAGAAAUCGCAGUACUACUCCAUCCAAUCCGACUACCUUAUUCCAGUAGUACACUUUGCAUACAAAGAUCAUCAUGAGAAUCUCAUCAGGCGACGUAUUAGACAAAAGGCUGAAGGCGAGUCCAUAGAGCUGUGUGGAGAUGCCAGGUCUGACUCACCAGGCUACAGCUGCAAGUAUUCCACCUAUUCGUUUCAGCUUCUAUCCAGUAAUGAGAUCAUUCACUUUCAACUACUACAGGUAAAACUAAAAUGCUGCUUGUCCGAUUUGUGAAACUAUACUCUGGGUGACAGAGUAUAGAUAAAGCAUUAUUCAGUGGGUGUAUUGUAUUUGUUUUUUU